rnacentral:tRNA from 1 species
AGUUUAUGAGCUUGAAUAAGCAUAUAUUUUGAAAAUAUAAGAAAGAAGUUAUAUUCUUCUAUAAACUU